rnacentral:rRNA from 1 species
AGAGUUUGAUCAUGGCUCAGAUUGAACGCUGGCGGCAUGCUUUACACAUGCAAGUCGAGCGGCAGCGCGGGGGCAACCCUGGCGGCGAGCGGCGAACGGGUGAGUAAUAGAUAGGAACGUGUCCGGGAGUGGGGGAUAACUAACCGAAAGGUUAGCUAAUACCGCAUAUUCUCUACGGAAGAAAGCGGGGGAUUCGCAAGAACCUCGCGCUCGCGGAGUGGCCUAUCUCCGAUUAGCUAGUUGGUGAGGUAAAGGCUUACCAAGGCGACGAUCGGUAGCUGGUCUGAGAGGAUGAUCAGCCACACUGGGACUGAGACACGGCCCAGACUCCUACGGGAGGCAGCAGUGGGGAAUUUUGGACAAUGGGGGCAACCCUGAUCCAGCCAUGCCGCGUGCGGGAAGAAGGCCUUCGGGUUGUAAACCGCUUUUAUUCGGAAAGAAGGAUUUCGGGCUAAUACCCUGGAUGACAGACGGUACCGGAUGAAUAAGCACCGGCUAACUACGUGCCAGCAGCCGCGGUAAUACGUAGGGUGCGAGCGUUAAUCGGAAUUACUGGGCGUAAAGCGUGCGCAGGCGGUUCGUUAAGUCAGCUGUGAAAGCCCCGGGCUCAACCUGGGAACUGCGGUUGAAACUGGCGAACUAGAAUCUGGCAGAGGGGGGUGGAAUUCCACGUGUAGCAGUGAAAUGCGUAGAGAUGUGGAGGAACACCGAUGGCGAAGGCAGCCCCCUGGGCUGAGAUUGACGCUCAGGCACGAAAGCGUGGGGAGCAAACAGGAUUAGAUACCCUAGUAGUCC